rnacentral:rRNA from 1 species
AUACGGAGGGUGCGAGCGUUAAUCGGAAUUACUGGGCGUAAAGCGUACGUAGGCGGUUGGUUAAGUUAGAUGUGAAAGCCCCGGGCUUAACCUGGGAACCGCAUUUAAAACUGGCGAACUAGAGUUGAGUAGAGGGGAGUGGAAUUUCAGGUGUAGCGGUGAAAUGCGUAGAGAUCUGAAGGAACACCAGUGGCGAAGGCGACUCCCUGGACUCGAACUGACGCUGAGGUACGAAAGCGUGGGUAGCAAACGGGAUUAGAUACCCUAGUAGUCC